rnacentral:rRNA from 1 species
UUAAUGGAGAGUUUGAUCCUGGCUCAGGACGAACGCUGGCGGCGUGCCUAAUACAUGCAAGUCGAGCGGAUUGUACCUUCGGGUACAGUUAGCGGCGGACGGGUGAGUAACACGUAGGCAACCU